GAUGUUUUCGGUGCCUGCAAAGAGCUAGACAGGUAGCUAGCUAACCCGAGCUGGCUGUCUUUUGACUCAGGGUCAUAGCUGGACUUAUUUUUCGUUUUUAUGAGCCGAUGAGGGGUUUUUUUUUAGUAACGGUACAAACAGUGAAAGGCGGUGGAUUGUCCAGAUGCUGGUCGAUGUGGAAAAAAUAACUGAGUUGUUUGGUAGUCGCUGACGCGGAGCUACAACCGAGGGCAGCUAUCCACCGGUGUGUGUCAGAAAGAACAUGCGGGGAACGAGGCGGCGAGGCGACCGCCGAUCGACCGGUGGUAGAUCGUGGAUCAGGGAAACCGAAGGCAGGAGAAGCAGGCGGCUGCCGGUCGGAGCGUGAGGUGAACUGAAUUUCAGGUAAGAAGUUAUGACCUGCACUCUAUUUGGGUCAGAUAUAAACUGAGUUUAGGUGUAGUUUAUUUAGCAGCAGUUCUCUUACGUGUUGCUGAUAGCCGGCUAGCUAGCUAGCGCCGCUAGCAUAGUUAGCUAGCACCGC
ensembl:lncRNA